rnacentral:rRNA from 1 species
AACGAACGCUGGCGGCAUGCCUAACACAUGCAAGUCGAACGAGACCUUCGGGUCUAGUGGCGCACGGGUGCGUAACGCGUGGGAACCUGCCCUUAGGUUCGGAAUAACUCCCCGAAAGGGGUGCUAAUACCGGAUAAUGUCUUCGGACCAAAGAUUUAUCGCCUUUGGAUGGGCCCGCGUGGGAUUAGCUAGUUGGUAGGGUAAAAGCCUACCAAGGCGAAGAUCCAUAGCUGGUCUGAGAGGAUGAUCAGCCACACUGGGACUGAGACACGGCCCAGACUCCGACGGAAGGCAGCAGUGGGGAAGAAGGGACAAUGGGCGAAAGCCUGAGCCAGCAGGGCCGCGUAAGUGAUGAAGGACUUAGGGUUGUAAAGCUCUUUUACCCGGGAUGAUAAGAACAGUACCGGGAGAAUAAGCUCCGGCUAACUCCGG